ensembl:lncRNA LINC00659 long intergenic non-protein coding RNA 659
CCCGCCCCUCCUUCCUGUCCCACCCCCUCCUUUCUGUACCUGUUGACCUCAUCUGGGCUGCAGUUGGUGACUGCUCGAAGGGGUGGGAGGAACAGUAUAAAGUCCUGUCCCCUUCCUGCCUUCAAGGGCACCCCUGAAGGACCAUAUCCACUGUGGACCCCCUUGGGAUCAGCCGAGGUCUGUAGAGGUGACAUUGCAGCCCAGCACCUCCCUCCUCCGCCCUGCCCUCCUCUGUCCUCCUUCCACAGGUGUGGCCAAGGGCACUGCCCAGUUGGCCUGUGACCCCCAGCUGAGGCUGCUUCCUGGGCAGCUGACUUCAAGUUUGUGACCUGAGCUCUCCAGGCCCCCGAGCGGCUGGUGCCUUGGCCCUGCAGUUCUGCGGCCAAGACUCCUCCUCUGGGAUCUCGUCUUACCCUGCUGCGGGUGCCAGGGCUGCAUGAAGCAAGGGCGAAAGUCCCCUUCGCCCGGGCGCUGCCCUCUGCCUGCUGUCCCCUGUGCUCCUGUUCCCCGUGGCUGCCCAGGGACAGGUGUGUGGGAUGGAGGACGCGGGAGAGGCUGAGUCCUCCCCAGUGGACCCCCAGAUGCAGACCCUGAGGCAAGGGAGAGUGAGAAAGUGAAGGAAAGAACACAGCUGGAAAUGCAACCAAGAAGGAACCCCAGCCCGGACCACUCUUUUCACACUCUCUGUUGCCCUUGUCCUUGGGCAUCUCAGUGACUCGAAGGAAUUGGGUCUUGAGACACAGCCGAGCCUGUGAGCGCUGACCUGUGUAAAGAAGACACCAGAAUGAGAUGUCUCCACACACAGAGAGCUGCAGCCGAUGCCGGCCGGUGACUUGGGACUUGGAUGCUUAACAGGAGGCUCCCCCUCUCUUGGGAGGUAGAGAGCAGUGAGGAAGGGGACUCAGCCUCCAUGCCUCCCGCCAGCCCAGCUGCGCCCGAAUCACCUCCCUCCUGAAAGGAUGUCAGCCUCUGCUUGGACACCGUGGAGACAGGGCCCUCCUUGUGCUUCAGAAGCAUCAACGUGUCAGAAAAUCAUCUUCACGCCAAGUCUGGAAAAAAUGGCUUUGAGGUUGUGCACACAAAGGAAGGAGGGAGAGCCCCAGGUGUCGCGGAGGACCAUGCGGCUGACAGAGCCAGCAGGGCGGUGGCGUGUGAGCCGUGCUCUGGAUAUAUAAGGAUCUGACGCUGCUGGCAAUGUCUGAGCUCUAUGCUCGCCCAUCUGUCGGCUGCUAUCAUCACCGGGUGGGAUUAGCGGAGAUCCACUCUUUCAUAUUUAAAUCUUCACAAGAGAAUGAAUCACUUUUAUAAUAAAAGAAAAAGACCGUC